rnacentral:rRNA from 1 species
GAUGAACGCUGGCGGCGUGCUUAACACAUGCAGGUCGAGCGAGAAACUCAACAGUGAAACUUCGGUCGAACAUUUGAGCGGAAAGCGGCGGACGGGUGAGUAACGCGUAGGCAACCUGCCCUUUGCAGAGGUAUAGCAUCGGGAAACUGAUAUUAAAACCUCAUAAAACCGGAAGUGCACAUGCACAUUUGGUCAAAGAUUUAUCGGCAAAGGAUGGGCCUGCGUCUGAUUAGUCAGUUGGUGGGGUAACGGCUCACCAAGGCAGUGAUCAGUAGCCGACCUGAGAGGGUGAUCGGCCACAUUGGAACUGAGACACGGUCCAGACUCCUGCGGGAGGCAGCAGUGGGGAAUAUUGCACAAUGGGGGAAACCCUGAUGCAGCAACGCCGCGUGAAGGAAGAAGGCCUUUGGGUCGUAAACUUCUGUCCUUGGGGAAGAAAAAAAUGACGGUACCCUUGGAGGAAGCCCC